rnacentral:lncRNA from 1 species
GGCUGAUCCGUGGGUUUCCUUCUUUGGAUGUGCCGGCUGGGACGUUCAUGGCACGGAAGAGCUGGGAUUUUGAUCUUGUAAGGAAGGAGACGCGGAAGAGACGCUGGGAUGGAGCUGUGAUCGCGGUUGACACGCGGUUGAGGGGCUGGAGACGCGUUGGGGACGAGCUGGCCGCGAUGUGUGAUACGCUGAUUUGGGAAGGAGCUAUAGACGGA